rnacentral:rRNA from 1 species
UACGAAGGGGGCUAGCGUUGUUCGGAAUUACUGGGCGUAAAGCGUGCGCAGGCGGCUUCUCAAGUCAGGGGUGAAAGCCCAGAGCUCAACUCUGGAAUUGCCUUUGAGACUGAGUGGCUUGAGUACGAGAGAGGUGAGUGGAAUUCCCAGUGUAGAGGUGAAAUUCGUAGAUAUUGGGAAGAACACCGGUGGCGGAGGCGGCUCACUGGCUCGUAACUGACGCUCAUGCACGACAGCGUGGGGAGCAAACAGG